UCUCUGCCCUGGAGUUAAAACUCCUGCCUGGCAAAACAGUGUCGCUGCAGUGUGUGUUACUCUCCUUCUUGGAGAAUGCACAUUGCCUCAACGGUCUUGAUCAGUUGAUCAGCCUGACGUGGGUGGACGAAGCCGACGCUGAGAUACAAGACGACGCCCAGCAUCAGAUAACUCAUCGGUCCCAUUGUGAUGUAACUCUGACUGUCGCCUUUCAAAGUCCCAAGAGCUUGAAGUUCAGGUGUCCGGCGACUGUGAAUGGAUGGUCCAGACUUCAGAGGAGCUGCUGGUCAGAGCUCCAGGAACGAUCAGGAAGGGAAGAGGCCUGGGCACAGAAGUGGAACCUGAAACUCAAGGUGCGCUUCAGAGAGCAGUAUCUGAGCUUAUAUUAAAACUUCCUUUUGUAUGUAUUUAAUAAAAAUCCUACUAGUACAGCAAAAGGCAGACAUGAUAAUAUUUCAAUGCGUAUUUCCUGUGCAUUGUUUAUUUAAAUUUAAAUAACAAAAGUAAUCACGGCUGUGGAAGGUUUCCUUCUAAUGUUUCGGCACCAUCGGGGCGGCCGUGGGGGUGGCAUCCUGUGGGGUUGGCCGUGGCGGUUGCAGUGUUUGUUCUGCACAGAAGAAGAACAAGUAAGUUCUCCAAACAUUUCUUAGGGCCGUAGGAAGCAUCUGCUGAAAUCCCAUGGACCUUUCACACCUAAUAUGUGCUGUUUGAGAUCUGAUCACAAGUAUACAGCUCUAACUACUGGUGUAGUUCUCAGAUUGGAUAUAGAUCCUAUCACACCAGCCCACAUCCGGAGGUGGCCCUAAUUUGCAUGUAGGGCAGGGAAGUGAGAUCCGAUCACACGUGGUCACAUGAGACACAUUCAGGAGGGAUUUUAACACCAGGCAACCAGCUGUCCGACGAGCCAUGUUCAGACGAGUGAAGUACAAUCAGCGUAAUUGAAAUGUCAAGAAUCAUACACCAAUCAGCAGCCUCUUCUGCACAUGGGCCCAUUUUGAAAAGGGAAUUUAAAUGUGUGUAUGUCUUCAGGUCAUGGAUACAGACAAUGUCAUCUAAGCUGACAUUAUUCUCCCCGGCGGCUCUGACAGAGUGUGGGUCCCUGACGUGGAGCCCACUGAAUACUCUUGUGUCUGUGUUUAUGUCUCUGACUCUGCAAACAUGUAUUCAUGUUCAAGUCUAUAAUAAAAACAUCACUCUUGUAAAGCAUCAACUUUAUGAACUUACUCAUAUAACGACUCCUGUUGUAUUUAAAACGUGUGAUACUUUGUGAUACCAAUUUGUUGAUGUUAUUUUCCUACAUUAUUUGUGUAGAGGCAGUUUACAUCGAGGGCCCUUCAUAAAGUACAAGACAAUGAAAUGACACUGGUACAGAAUGCAGACUAAUUAUAUUUGAGAUGUAUUUUAUUAGGUGAUAUCGUACCAGGUGGAGGAACUCUGCUUCAGCGCCAUCUGCUGAUCAGCAUAGAUAACCGCAACAAUAUUGUAA